rnacentral:rRNA from 1 species
CCUACGGGAGACAGCAGUGAGGAAUAUUGGUCAAUGGGAGAGAUCCUGAACCAGCCAAGCCGCGUGAGGGAAGACGGCCCUAUGGGUUGUAAACCUCUUUUGUCGGAGAACAAAACCCGGGACGUGUCCCGGACUGCGUGUAUCCGAAGAAAAAGCAUCGGCUAAUUCCGUGCCAGCAGCCGCGGUAAUACGGAGGAUGCGAGCGUUAUCCGGAUUUAUUGGGUUUAAAGGGUGCGUAGGCGGUCCGUUAAGCCUGCGGUAAAAUUGCGGGGCUCAACCCCGUCGUGCCGUUGGAACUGGCAGGCUUGAGUUGGCGGAAAGUAGGCGGAAUGCGCGGUGUAGCGGUGAAAUGCAUAGAUAUCGCGCAGAACUCCGAUUGCGAAGGCAGCGUGCCGGAGCCAGACUGACGCUGAGGCACGAAAGCGUGGGGAUCGAACAGGAUUAGAUACCCGAGUAGUC